rnacentral:snoRNA from 1 species
UUUAUUAAAGAAAUGAUUUUAAAUCUUUUUCUAAGGAAGUAAAUGCAAGACAAAUUAAUAAGUUAGGAAUUCUUCGUUUAUGAUCUUAAA